UCUGUCAUAAAUUUCAAAAAUGUCAAAAUUCACCAGUGUUUAGAGAUUAGUUUAUGCAAAAAAUGGUAUCAAUUCGCUUAUUUAAUUUUUAUUACUUCCAAUUUAGAUUAAGUGUUUGUAAUUUAAGUUCAAUUCAGUCAAAAGUUCAAAAUUAACUUGAAAUUUCCAGAAAAAGUCUAUAUUUCCUAAGUUAUAACCUUCAGAUAUUUUUUUUUCGAGUGUGUGACGUUUAAACUGUUCAGUGAAAUACGUCUAAUUUGUGCACCACUAAACCGUUUCCUUUCCUGAAGGCUGUCUAAAAACAUAGAAUUAAGGAAAUUAAUGAGGAGGUACAUUGGGGAGAUGUUCUUGAAGAGAACAUACCGCCAAAUACAAACAACAUGCCUGCCAAGUAUAUCAUGGAACUAUUGUUGUUCAAUUGGUGUACCAGCAACUUCAUCGACAGCUGCUGCCGGUGGUGGGGGAGCUGGUACACGUGCAGCAGGUGGAUCCAGCAGUAUGUAUUCUGCACGACAUUCGGUAAGCUCCUCAUCAGGAGUGCUCAUGGUUGGACCAAAUUUUCGUGUUGGAAAGAAAAUUGGCUGUGGUAAUUUUGGCGAAUUACGAUUAGGAAAAAAUCUUUACAACAAUGAGCACGUAGCAAUAAAAAUGGAGCCUAUGAAAUCAAAGGCUCCACAACUACAUUUAGAAUAUAGGUUUUAUAAAUUAUUAGGAUCACAUGCAGAGGGUGUACCCGAAGUAUAUUACUUCGGACCAUGCGGCAAAUAUAAUGCACUUGUUAUGGAAUUGCUUGGUCCAUCACUUGAAGAUUUGUUUGAUUUAUGCGGCAGACGAUUUACUCUGAAGACAGUUCUCAUGAUAGCAAUACAAUUACUCCACCGGAUCGAAUACGUUCAUAGUCGGCACUUAAUAUAUAGGGAUGUGAAACCGGAGAAUUUUUUAAUCGGUCGAACGUCAACAAAACGUGAAAAAAUUAUACAUAUAAUUGAUUUCGGUUUGGCCAAAGAAUAUAUUGACUUAGAUACAAAUAAACACAUACCAUAUCGGGAACACAAAUCAUUAACGGGUACAGCGCGUUAUAUGUCAAUAAAUACGCAUAUGGGCAGAGAGCAAUCUAGACGUGAUGAUUUAGAAGCAUUAGGUCAUAUGUUUAUGUACUUUUUAAGAGGUUCACUGCCGUGGCAAGGUCUUAAGGCUGAUACACUUAAGGAAAGGUAUCAGAAAAUUGGUGAUACCAAACGAGCAACACCUAUUGAGGUGCUUUGUGAAAAUCAUCCCGAAGAAUUCGCUACAUACCUAAGAUAUGUGCGACGAUUAGAUUUUUUCGAAACACCCGACUAUGAUUUCUUGAGAAGACUGUUCCAAGACUUAUUCGAUCGGAAAGGAUAUGUGGAAGAUGGCGAAUUCGAUUGGACAGGGAAGACAAUGAUAGUACACGACGAUACCUCUGAUGUAGAUGAUCCUGAUGAGGAUAGAAAGUCGGUACCAAAAUAUAUUCAUGUUUUCAAGUCGAAAAAAUAGGCACAUCAACAAACAAACAUUAGACUAUUGUUUAGGUUUCCUUUUCGAGCCUUCCUCCUCAACUUUUUUUUCUUUUUAAUUACUUUCUUUAAGUCAUAGUAUAAGCAAACUAUAUUAUGUAAAUUAAUCGAAAGAGAGCUAUUGAUUUCAAGGUUGUGAGCUCAACUAAUGGUGAAUUGAAUGCGGACGACCCGACCGCUGGACAUUCGAACACACCUAUAACACAGCAGCCUGAGGUGGAACUUGUGGACGAAACGAA
rnacentral:misc_RNA from 1 species